rnacentral:rRNA from 1 species
UCACUUUCAACAACGGAUCUCUUGGCUCUUGCACCGAUGAAGAACGUAGCGAAGUGCGAUAAGUAAUGUGAAUUGCAGAAUUCCGUGAAUCUUUGAACGCAUAUUGCACUCUCCGGUUUUCCAGGAGUAUGCCUGUUUGAGGGUUA